rnacentral:rRNA from 1 species
AGCUCCAAUAGCGUAUAUUAAAGUUGUUGCAGUUAAAAAGCUCGUAGUUGGAUCUCAGAUUGUGGCUUGUGGUUCACCUCGCGGUGCUUACUGCUUGUCCGGAUCUACCCGCCAAUUUUUCGUUGGUGCACUUAACUGUGUGCUUUCGGGAAUUGGAAGUUUUACUUUGAAAAAAUUAGAGUGUUCAAGGCAGGCGAUUCGCCUGAAUAAUGGUGCAUGGAAUAAUGGAAUAGGACCUCGGUUCUAUUUUGUUGGUUUUCGGAACUCGAGGUAAUGAUUAAGAGGGACAGACGGGGGCAUUCGUAUUACGGUGUUAGAGGUGAAAUUCUUGGAUCGCCGUAAGACGAACUACUGCGAAAGCAUUUGCCAAGAAUGUUUUCA